CAAAAGGUAGUUUUUAAAAUAUUAACUUUGGGAGUUAAAGAUGAAUUUAUAUUUUCUUUUGA
rnacentral:tRNA from 1 species